rnacentral:rRNA from 1 species
GAAUUGCGAUAAGUAAUGUGAAUUGCAGAUUUCCAGUGAAUCAUCGAAUCUUUGAACGCACCUUGCGCUCCUUGGUAUUCCAAGGAGCAUGCCUGUUUGAGUGUCAUUGAAUUCUCAACCAAUGUCUUGAUUGAUGUUGGCUUGGAGUUGGGAGUUGCUGGCAAUCUCUUUUGUCAGCUCUCCUGAAAUGUAUUAGCAAUCGGAUAGCUAGUCUUUGAUGUGCACGGCCUUCGACGUGAUAAUGAUCGUCGUGGCUGGAGCGUCUUUGAACCGUGCAUGAAUAGCCUAUUGCUUAUAAUAACCAACAUUUUCGAAACUUGACCUCAAAUCAGGUAGGACUACCCGCUGAACUUAA